UCCCUGGUAGUAUAUCGGCUAGUACACGCGCCUGUCAUCUUGACCAAUCGGUUACGGUAUGGACGCGCGAAAGCGGGGUUCGACUCCCCGCCAGGGAG